GGCUUCGUGGUCGAGUGGUAAGGACACUACCUCUGACUGUGUAGUCCCGGGUUUGAUCCCCGGUCGAGGAGCUA